rnacentral:rRNA from 1 species
AGUGGCGAACGGGUGAGUAAUAUAUCGGAACGUACCCAAGAGUGGGGGAUAACGUAGCGAAAGUUACGCUAAUACCGCAUACGAUCUAAGGAUGAAAGCAGGGGACCUUCGGGCCUUGUGCUCCUGGAGCGGCCGAUAUCUGAUUAGCUAGUUGGUGAGGUAAAGGCUCACCAAGGCGACGAUCAGUAGCUGGUCUGAGAGGACGACCAGCCACACUGGAACUGAGACACGGUCCAGACUCCUACGGGAGGCAGCAGUGGGGAAUUUUGGACAAUGGGCGCAAGCCUGAUCCAGCAAUGCCGCGUGAGUGAAGAAGGCCUUCGGGUUGUAAAGCUCUUUUGUCAGGGAAGAAACGGCUGUGGCUAAUAUCCACGGCUAAUGACGGUACCUGAAGAAUAAGCACCGGCUAACUACGUGCCAGCAGCCGCGGUAAUACGUAGGGUGCAAGCGUUAAUCGGAAUUACUGGGCGUAAAGCGUGCGCAGGCG